GCCAUCCUUCAAAGAAAGCGUAAUAGCUCACUGAUCGAGUCCUCAUGCGCGGAAGAUGUAACGGGGCUAAGUCAAUAACCGAAAGCGCGGAUUUGCACGAUGAGUGCAAGUGGUAGGGGAGCGUUCUGUAAGCCUGCGAAGGUGGUUCGAGAGGACUGCUGGAGGUAUCAGAAGUGCGAAUGCUGACAUGAGUAACGUUAAAGCAGGUGAAAAGCCUGCUCGCCGUAAGCCCAAGGUUUCCUGCUCUACGUUCAUCGGAGCAGGGUGAGUCGGCCCCUAAGGCCAGGCUGAGAAGCGUAGUCGAUGGGAAGCAGAUUAAUAUUUCUGCACCAUGUGCAAGUGCGAUGGGGGGACGGAGUGCGAAAGAUCAUCCGGGUGUUGGAUGUCCCGGUUUGUGAGUGUAGAAGGCCGACAGGCAAAUCCGUCGGCGGAUCUUCGAGACAAAGCAUCGAGGUUCUACGGAACCGAAGUGAUCGGAAGUGCUUCCAGGAAAAGCCUCUAAGCUCCAGCUUGCAUAUGACCGUACCGUAAACCGACACUGGUGGGCGAGUUGAAUAUACUCAGGCGCUUGAGAGAACUCGGGAGAAGGAACUCGGCAAAUUGACACCGUAACUUCGGGAUAAGGUGUGCCUUUGUAGCGUGAAGAGAGAAACACUCGGAGCGUGAAGAGGCCUCAGAGAAUCGGUGGCUGCAACUGUUUAUUAAAAACACAGCACUCUGCAAAGACGAAAGUCGACGUAUAGGGUGUGAUGCCUGCCCGGUGCUGGAAGAUUAAGUGAUGGGGUGAGAGCUCCUGAUCGAAGUCCCAGUAAACGGCGGCCGUAACUAUAACGGUCCUAAGGUAGCGAAAUUCCUUGUCGGGUAAGUUCCGACCUGCACGAAUGGCAUAAUGAUGGCCACACUGUCUCCUCCCGAGACUCAGUGAAGUUGAAAUGUUUGUGAUGAUGCAAUCUCCCCGCGGCUAGACGGAAAGACCCCAUGAACCUUUACUGUAGCUUUGCAUUGGACUUUGAACCGAUUUGUGUAGGAUAGGCGGGAGGCAGAGAAAGCGCAACGCCAGUUGUGCCGGAGCCGACGUUGAAAUACCGCCCUGAUUUGUUUGAGGUUCUAACCGCGACCCGUGAGCCGGGUCCGGGACCGUGCAUGGCAGGCAGUUUGACUGGGGCGGUCUCCUCCUAAAGGGUAACGG
rnacentral:rRNA from 1 species